UUCCGUUGAGCCUCGUUUAUAUUUGUCUCCUCGUUGUUGAAAGCUGCCGGUGUCUCCGCGUUCUUCUUUCACCGCUGCUCGUUGCUGCGUACUACUCGCCGUAGCUUCCUCAUGCGUGCCUGAGCUCCACGAAACGCACCGUCGUCUCAUUGUUCUUCUUUCAAAGCUCCUCGUUGCCUGAAGCUCUUCAUAUUUGUGGGUCUCGCGCCUGGUUCGCCGAGCGUGCUUUAGCUUGUCAUUGUGCACUGCCCAUAACAUAUCCGUGGCAAGUUGCUAUAUCGGUGAACUCGCAACCACUGCGCUUAACUGCUAAUCAGCUAACGAAGGAGAACUUCGUUGGUUUCUGUUUUUUUCUACGAAUCUGCAACACUCCUCUCCUCCUUUAGGUCAGAUAAGCUCUUCCUUUACCUUACAUACGUUUGUUAAUUUUUCUCGAACUACCAGUUGCUUUGUUGUGGCGUGAUAAAGAUCCCAUUUCGGUUCCCAGGUUCGUGCUUGCUUGUUUGAUUUAGAUUGCGCCUGGUGUUGUUUAGAUCCUCCUUAGUUAGACAAACAAAGGUGAGCUUGUGGGAUCUUGCGAAAUUAUUACAGCUGCUUUUCUAUCUUACAAAACGUUCCAAAUAACGAUUCCGACAACCCAUCCGGUUAGUUUUCCCCACAAAUCUCCUGAUUUGUGGUAAUCCUUUGUCCAACCAAUCAAAAAAAACCUCGUGGCGAUGCCCCCCAGGCGUAAAUGGAACGCUGAAAACUCCGAGAACAGUGAGUUUCUGUUGUCGGUCGAAACCCACCGACGAGUAGC